UUCUGGGCAGUCUCCAGUCUGUGUGAAGAGAGUCUGUCAUGGAGAAGAAACCAGUGUGGUUUAGAAGAAGGUAGCGUGUCAACCUUUUUGCUUGUGUUUGCAAAAACUGUGUGUUUUGCAACCAGUAAAUGGCUUAGCUGUCCGGUUUUAUAGUUUAGGGUUUUGUUCUUUAAAAAGUUUAGUUAGCACUCCAUGUGUGAGUUAGGUUUUUGUUUUGAUUAUUUUUCUUUUAUUUCUGUAAUUAAUAAAAACAAUGCAUGAAAGUGCCUUAAAAUACCUCAAUCUUGUGCCUGGGUCUGCAUCCAAGGGGCAAAUGAACCUUUCAACAAGUGGAAUCUUUCACAAGAUUUCUACAGCAUCCCAGCAACAACUGCCGUUUGACAUCAGGGAGUUAGAAGCGGAUGAUGAAUGUUAUGUUCUGGAAGAACUGAAGGAAUCCCUCCAUCACCCUGAAUCAAUCGUCACUUAGCAUUCUGUGUUCAGAAGAGACUGGAGGAUGCAAACUGGUUCCCUGCAGCUGAGAUCUGAUCUCCGUACAGCUACUGGCUGUCAGUACAGUUUGUGGGUCAGCAAUGAAGGUUGAGCUCAGUAUUCGUCGCAUCGGAAAUAUUCAAUCAUCUGGGGUUUGAUUUCAUGAGAAGAUGUCUCAGUUAGAUGAAUAAAGGUCACAGUUCAACAAAACAAAAAAAAUGCUUUUCAAGUGGAGCCUUCCAAGUUUCUAUCGCACUGCAAGGUCAUUUCCCAGCAUGACAACACAGCAGCCCAAAGAUGCAGAUUUACUGUAAUGACAAGCACACAUUUCAGAAAUUUGAUUUGCUAUUGCAAACGUAUAUAUUGUUGAACAUUAAUUCAUCUUACAUUUAUAAGUAUGCCACUGUGAGACUUCCCCUUUAAAGAUCAUUAAUUUUCUUACUUGUCUUGGAUACUGAAGCACCUGCCAUCUGUGUACCUGUACUGUAUGUACUUUAAUUAUGGUUCUUUGAUGUGUGCUAAGAUUUGUAACCAGCAUUGUAUACCAUCCUUAUAUAUUGCUGUGUUUAUCAGUGAGCAACAUUAGUAAGCACUAAUAAAAGUGCAUACAGUAAAUACUGUAUGACAAGCCAGUGUAAUGACACUAGACCUCGAUGUGACCCUCAUUUAGCUGUGAGCAUUGUCCUAGUUAGAGCUCAUCAGCCUGGUAUGACCCAGAUAUGCCCUUAUUAACACAUGCUGCUCUGACUGUCUAAUUUGAUGGCUGGGGUCCUCAGCCCAUCAUAAAUCACUGAGCAACCUUUGGUGGCUGGCAUUGUCAAAAGGACAUGUUAAAGUGAGAUCAACCAUUCUGAUGCAAUAGACAAAAGAGCACUUUUAUUCUGUUGUGUGUGUGCUUCUCCGUUUUACUGAGAGCUUUUUUCUGCACCUGAAGUUGUUACUCAGCAAAGACUCAGUAAAACUUUGUAGUUAUAAUGGCAUAUAGGGGUUACAUGUUAAAACAUGCAAGUAUUACAGAAUAUUUUCCAUGCUCCAAUGUUGUUAAUUGUUGUUAUAGCUUAUUAAUAUUAGAACUGAUUUGUCAGUAACCUUAGGGUUCUCUAUUGUGCCUGGGAAUUAUAUAUCUGAUAAUAUCUAAUCUGACAUUUUAUUUGAAGUUUGGAGCCCCAAGAUGGCAUUCUGUAAUAACUUGUUCUGACCAAAGUCAUGUUCAAAAAGGCUUUCAUAAAACUAGCACAUAUUUAUUUCUGUGUAUGUGCUGUUCGAUUGAUUAAGGGUAGGUUAUUGGGUUUUUUUAGGGUGUCUGGUUUCAGUAUUUCCCAAUUCUUUUUUUGCCAAUCUAAAUAUAUGUUUAUGUUGGCUGAUGACUGCUGAUUAUUUUUCACUAGCUACAAUGAGGUCAUCAUCAGGUGAUACCCGAUCCAGUACGAAAGCAAAAUCAGCAACAACAAAAAAAAUGGUCUAAGAAUGUGUUUAAUGUGUAUAUGUGUUAAUGAGGCACUGUAUUUUCAGUUCUUUCUUUUUCCUGGCUAGUGACCCGCUCUGUCAUUCACAAAGAUGGAUACUGUACACCUGCUUUGCCUUGGUAAAAAUAUUGUAACUGGACUGACUCACCGUUGCCACCUGCUGGCAAACGGAGUGCCGUGCCCGGAGCCAGCUUUCUACACUUAUGCUAAUAUACAGCAGAGGAUGCUGGGAGUUAGAAAUAUGGUAUUAUUAUUGUUGUGUUUCAUUACUAGUUAUUGUAAAGUUCCAAUAUUGUUAAAUGUAUCACCCUGUGAUUGUUAUUACCCUUCCGGUGUUAUUUGUGUAAUAUGUGGACGUCACCUUGAGAGGCGGAGUAGUGCUCUGGGGUGGUGAAGGGCUGUCGAUGUGUAUGUGUUUGAGUGUGUGGAUGGUGCUGGUUUGCUGUUAGCUGCCUAAUAAACUGCAUUCUA